rnacentral:rRNA from 1 species
AAUAGAUACCCCGGUAGUCCACGCCGUAAACGAUGAGUGCUAAGUGUUAGAGGGUUUCCGCCCUUUGGUGCUGCAGCUAACGCAUUAAGCACUCCGCCUGGGGAGUACGGCCGCAAGGCUGAAACUCAAAGGAAUUGACGGGGGCCCGCACAAGCGGUGGAGCAUGUGGUUUAAUUCGAAGCAACGCGAAGAACCUUACCAGGUCUUGACAUCCUCUGCCAACCCUAGAGAUAAGGCGUUCCCCUUCGGGGGACAGAGUGACAGGUGGUGCAUGGUUGUCGUCAGCUCGUGUCGUGAGAUGUUGGGUUAAGUCCCGCAACGAGCGCAACCCUUGAUCUUAGUUGCCAGCAUUCAGUUGGGCACUCUAAGGUGACUGCCGGUGACAAACCGGAGGAAGGUGGGGAUGACGUCAAAUCAUCAUGCCCCUUAUGACCUGGGCUACACACGUGCUACAAUGGAUGGUACAAAGAGCUGCGAACCCGCGAGGGUAAGCGAAUCUCAUAAAGCCAUUCUCAGUUCGGAUUGUAGG